GCCAUAUCACAUUGAAACACUAGUUCCUGUACAAUCACAGAAGUUAAGAAACAUUGAGCCUGGUCAGCACGUAAAUGGGUGACUGCUUGGGAAUACCAGGUGCUGUAC
rnacentral:rRNA from 1 species